rnacentral:rRNA from 1 species
GAUAAACGCUGGCGGCGCACAUAAGACAUGCAAGUCGAACGAACUUAACCUUUAGUUUACUAAUGGAGCGGUUAGUGGCGGACUGGUGAGUAACACGUAAGCAACCUGCCUAUCAGAGGGGAACAACAGUUAGAAAUGACUGCUAAUACCGCAUAUGCCUUGAGUUACGCAUGUAACAAAAGGGAAAGGAGCAAUCCGCUGAUAGAUGGGCUUGCGUCUGAUUAGCUAGUUGGUGGGGUAACGGCCUACCAAGGCAACGAUCAGUAGCCGGACUGAGAGGUUGAACGGCCACAUUGGGACUGAGAUACGGCCCAG